rnacentral:rRNA from 1 species
UGAGGAAUAUUGGUCAAUGGGCGAGAGCCUGAACCAGCCAAGUAGCGUGCAGGAAGACGGCCCUAUGGGUUGUAAACUGCUUUUAUAAGGGAAUAAAGUGAGUCUCGUGAGACUUUUUGCAUGUACCUUAUGAAUAAGGACCGGCUAAUUCCGUGCCAGCAGCCGCGGUAAUACGGAAGGUCCGGGCGUUAUCCGGAUUUAUUGGGUUUAAAGGGAGCGCAGGCGGAGGAUCAAGCCAGCCGUCAAAUAGCGGUGCUCAACACCGUCCAGCGGUUGGAACUGGUUCCCUUGAUUGCGGGAGAAGAAGGCGGAACUCGUGGUGUAGCGGUGAAAUGCAUAGAUAUCACGAAGAACUCCGAUUGCGAAGGCAGCUCACUGGAGCGCAACUGACGCUGAAGCUCGAAAGUGCGGGUAUCGAACAGGAUUAGAUACCCUGGUAGU